UACGGAGGGUGCGAGCGUUGUCCGGAAUCACUGGGCGUAAAGGGCGCGUAGGCGGCGCGGGCAGUCAACGGUGAAAGCUUGGGGCUCAACCCCGAGUCGGCCGUCGAUACUCCCGGGCUUGAGCACUGUAGAGGCAGGUGGAAUUCCGGGUGUAGCGGUGGAAUGCGUAGAGAUCCGGAAGAACACCGGUGGCGAAGGCGGCCUGCUGGGCAGUAGCUGACGCUGAGGCGCGAAAGCUAGGGGAGCAAACAGG
rnacentral:rRNA from 1 species